CCUACGGGAGGCAGCAGUAGGGAAUCUUCCACAAUGGGCGAAAGCCUGAUGGAGCAACGCCGCGUGGGUGCAGAAGGUCUUCGGAUCGUAAAACCCUGUUGUUAGAGAAGAAAGUGCGUGAGAGUAACUGUUCACGUUUCGACGGUAUCUAACCAGAAAGCAACGGCUAACUCCGUGCCAGCAGCCGCGGUAAUACGUAGGUGGCAAGCGUUAUCCGGAUUUACUGGGCUUAAAGGGAACGCAGGCGGUCUUUUAAGUCUGAUGUGAAAGCCUUCGGUUUAACCGGAGUAGUGCAUUGGAAACUGGGGAACUUGAGUGCAGAAGAGGAGAGUGGAACUCCAUGUGUAGCGGUGAAAUGCGUAGAUAUAUGGAAGAACACCAGUGGCGAAAGCGGCUCUCUGGUCUGUAACUGACGCUGAGGUUCGAAAGCGUGGGUAGCAAACAGGAUUAGAUACCCGAGUAGUC
rnacentral:rRNA from 1 species